GAUGAACGCUGGCGGCGUGCCUAAUACAUGCAAGUCGAGCGAACAGACGAGGAGCUUGCUCCUCUGACGUUAUCGGCGGACGGGUGAGUAACACGUGGAUAACCUACCUAUAAGACUGGGAUAACUUCGGGAAACCGGAGCUAAUACCGGAUAAUAUAUUGAACCGCAUGGUUCAAUAGUGAAAGACGGUUUUGCUGUCACUUAUAGAUUGAUCCGCGCCGCAUUAGCUAGUUGGUAAGGUAACGGCUUACCAAGGCAACGAUGCGUAGCCGACCUGAGAGGGUGAUCGGACACACUGGAACUGAGAAACGGUCCAGACUCCUACGGGAGGCAGCAGUAGGGAAUCUUACGCAAUGGGCGAAAGCCUGACGGAGCAACGCCGCGUGAGUGAUGAAGGUCUUCGGAUCGUAAAACUCUGUUAUUAGGGAAGAACAAAUGUGUAAGUACCUAUGAACGUCUUGACGGUACCUAAUCAGAAAGCCACGGCUAACUCCGUG
rnacentral:rRNA from 1 species